rnacentral:rRNA from 1 species
UGCAGCGACGCCGCGUGAGGGAUGACGGCCUUCGGGUUGUAAACCUCUUUCAGCAGGGGAGAAGCGCAAGUGACGGUACCUGCAGAAGAAGCGCCGGCUAACUACGUGCCAGCAGCCGCGGUAAUACGUAGGGCGCAAGCGUUGUCCGGAAUUAUUGGGCGUAAAGAGCUCGUAGGCGGUUUGUCGCGUCUGCUGUGAAAACCUGAGGCUCAACCUCGGGCUUGCAGUGGGUACGGGCAGACUAGAGUGCGGUAGGGGUGACUGGAAUUCCUGGUGUAGCGGUGGAAUGCGCAGAUAUCAGGAGGAACACCGAUGGCGAAGGCAGGUCACUGGGCCGCAACUGACGCUGAGGAGCGAAAGCAUGGGGAGCGAACAGGAUUAGAUACCCUGGUAGUC